rnacentral:rRNA from 1 species
UACGUAGGGUGCGAGCGUUGUCCGGAAUUACUGGGCGUAAAGAGCUUGUAGGUGGUUUGUCGCGUUGUUCGUGAAAUCUCACGGCUCAACUGUGAGCGUGCGGGCGAUACGGGCAGACUAGAGUACUGCAGGGGAGACUGGAAUUCCUGGUGUAGCGGUGGAAUGCGCAGAUAUCAGAAGGAACACCGGUGGCGAAGACGGGUCUCUGGGCAGUAACUGACGCUGGAGAAGCGAAAAGCGUGGGGAGCGAACAGG